rnacentral:rRNA from 1 species
AUUGAACGCUGGCGGCAUGCUUUACACAUGCAAGUCGAACGGCAGCGGGGAAGUGCUUGCACUUCUGCCGGCGAGUGGCGAACGGGUGAGUAAUGCAUUGGAACGUACCGAGUAAUGGGGGAUAACUUGCCGAAAGGUAAGCUAAUACCGCAUACGCUUUGAGAAGGAAAGCGGGGGAUCUUCGGACCUCGCGUUAUUCGAGCGGCCAAUGUCUGAUUAGCUAGUUGGUGGGGUAAAAGCCUACCAAGGCGACGAUCAGUAGCGGGUCUGAGAGGAUGAUCCGCCACACUGGGACUGAGACACGGCCCAGACUCCUACGGGAGGCAGCAGUGGGGAAUUUUGGACAAUGGGGGGAACCCUGAUCCAGCCAUGCCGCGUGUCUGAAGAAGGCCUUCGGGUUGUAAAGGACUUUUGUACGGGAAGAAAGGCUUUGGGCUAAUACCCUGAAGCUAUGACGGUACCGUAAGAAUAAGCACCGGCUAACUACGUG